AAGUCGUAACAAGGUUUCCGUAGGUGAACCUGCGGAAGGAUCAUUAAUGAAUGAUAAUUUUUUGGGGUUUUCCCUGAAAAAUAAUUCACCUUUUGUGCAUCGUUAUUAGAUAUACUUUGGUUAGUGCUUUGAUUUCCUUUUCUGAAGUCAACUUCUUGCUGACUCUAUCCUGUUAAGGACAGUUGGCUAUGAAGCGGCCUACCAAGGUUUUUUAUCAAACACAUUUAAUCCAACUGACCUAAAAACAAAUAAUUAAAUCAUAACUUUCAACAACGGAUCUCUUGGCUCUC
rnacentral:misc_RNA from 1 species